CCCAAGCAAGAAUGGGGUGAGGUUCAGAGCUUUGUGAGCAAAUAGUCGGACUGUGCAAGCCCAUUUCUAAACAGACAAUUGCAAGUAAUUCGGGGAUUUCAUCAUCUACGCUCUAUAAUAUCAUCAAAAGAGCCGGAAAAGCUGGAGAAAUCUCAGUAUGUGAGCAGCAAGGCGAAAAACCUGCGCUGAAUGGCCGUGACCCUCAUUCCCUCGGGUGGUGAUGCGUUAAAAAAAAAAAAAAAUGGCAUCGUGUGGAAGAUAUUACCGUGGUAAGGUUCAGGAACAAAUCAGAAAGCCAUUGCCGGUGAAGAGAGUUUGUCACUGCAUUUACAAAUACAAUUUAAAACUCUACCAUGGAAAUAUAAGGCCACAUAUCAAUAAGAAAGAGAAACACCGUUGACUCCUUUGGGUUCCACAGCUCAUCUGAGAUCGCUCAUCCUCACCAUCGAUCAGUGGUUAGAGCAUUGGUUUGGUAAACCAGGGGUCGUGAGUUCGUAUCCCACUGGGGCCUCCACUCCCCGAGGGGUGUUUGCGUCAGGAAGGGCAUCCGGCGUUAAAAACUGUGCCAAACAAAUAUGAGCGUUCAUCUGAGAUGUCACGCUAUGGCGACCCCUAAUGGGACAAGCCGAAAGAAACAUACUCACUCCAUGGUCAUGUCCUCAAUGGUAAAAAGGAAAAGGGCCAUGUAGAUUGUUACCAGCGCAAAGUUCAAAAGCUAGCAUCUGUGAUUGGUAUGGGGGUCUGUCAAAGUCCAAAACAUCUGUGAAAUGUCUAUUUAUCUAUGUCCAUUUUACAAACCACCUAUCCUCACAAGUGUUGUGGGACUGCCGGAUCCUAUACCAGCUAACAUCGGGCGAAAGGCAGACUACACCCUGAACUGGUCGCAAGUCAGUCACAGGACACAUAUCGACAACAUCACCGAGCAGGAAUCAAUCCCACGCUGCACGCAACAUAUGCUGCCAUCCAAGCAAGGUGUAUUCCAGGGAUGUCCCAUUUUAUUUCAGCAAGACACAUUUUGGACGUGUACAGCGUGACUGGAAAAAUACGACAAUGGGGACCCCCGGACCUUUGAGAAACUGAAUUUGUACAUCCAGCACGAAUGGGAAAGAAUUCCACCGACAACCUUCCACAAUCGGUGUACUCAGUUUCCAAACAACUAUUGAGUGGUAUUAAAAGCAAAUGUAGUGUAACAUCCCUCAGUUUAAGAUUUUUGGGAACGUGUUGACGGCAACUAAUGACUAAUAAAAAUGAAAGAAUAUUUGCAAAAACAUAAUCAGGUUUGUCAGUUUGAACAUAUCCAGUUGAAUAAAAGCGGAAAAGUAUCUUUAAUGAUUGUUUUCUGUAUUUGACUUAACAUUUUACACAGCAUCCCAACUUUAUUGGAAUUGGGGUUUUCAUAUUCAAACAAUCUUCUCCCAGUUGAUGAAAAGACACUCCAGUUGGAGAGAAAGUA